rnacentral:lncRNA from 1 species
AUGCUUCUACGCAAUUUGAAUCAUGCAGCUGGUCUUUCCAAAGGUGUCACCUACCGAAAUUCCUAAAACCAAGGGGGCACGUGUCAAAGCUAAGCCCGAUGAAAGGAUGUGGAGAUCGCCAGGAUAAUAGGAAUGGGGAAAGAUUCUCAAUCGUGAAGGCUAGCCUUUCGCUAUGAAAGGUGGGCAGCUUGUCGAUCGACUAGAGAUGCUUCAAUCGGUAGUCUCGGAAAGAAGUAAAAAAGAUGGAUUCUCGGUACCCACUAAGUAUUUAGGGAGGGUGGAUCAGACCACUUCUUAGAGAGUGACGAGGGCUAGUGUGAUGUAAGCUAGCGGAACUCGCGAAAGCGGACACAGGGGCUGAACCAUGUGUGGAUGUCACCUACCGAAAUUCCUAAAACCAAGGGGGCACACGGCUUCUAAUAACACAUCUUGGCACAAAUGUGAUAUGAGGGCUAAUUGUUGGUGGGACCUAUGAAGCUACUAUUGCUAUCAUCCCACAAAUUAUUUUC